rnacentral:rRNA from 1 species
CCCCGCCUAGGGGAGUACGGCCGCAAGGCUAAAACUCAAAGGAAUUGACGGGGACCCGCACAAGCGGCGGAGCAUGCGGAUUAAUUCGAUGCAACGCGAAGAACCUUACCAAGGCUUGACAUACACCGGAAACGUCUGGAAACAGUCGCCCCUUUUUGGUCGGUGUACAGGUGGUGCAUGGUUGUCGUCAGCUCGUGUCGUGAGAUGUUGGGUUAAGUCCCGCAACGAGCGCAACCCUCGUUCUAUGUUGCCAGCACGUUAUGGUGGGAACUCAUGGGAUACUGCCGGGGUCAACUCGGAGGAAGGUGGGGAUGACGUCAAAUCAUCAUGCCCCUUAUGUCUUGGGCUUCACGCAUGCUACAAUGGCCGGUACAAAGGGCUGCAAUACCGUGAGGUGGAGCGAAUCCCAAAAAGCCGGUCCCAGUUCGGAUUGAGGUCUGCAACUCGACCUCAUCAAGUCGGAGUCGCUAGUAAUCGCAGAUCAUCAACGCUGCGGUGAAUACGUUCCCGGGUCUUGUACACACCGCCCGUCAAGUCAUGAAAGUCGGUAACACCUGAAGCCGGUGGCCUAACCCCUUGUGGGAGGGAGCUGUCGAAGGUGGGAUCGGUAAUUAG